UUCCUACGGGGGGCAGCAGUAGGGAAUCUUCCACAAUGGACGAAAGUCUGAUGGAGCAACGCCGCGUGAGUGAAGAAGGGUUUCGGCUCGUAAAGCUCUGUUGGUAGUGAAGAAAGAUAGAGGUAGUAACUGGCCUUUAUUUGGCGGUAAUUACUUAGAAAGUCACGGCUAACUACGUGCCAGCAGCCGCGGUAAUACGUAAGUGGCAAGCGUUGUCCGGCAUUAUUGGGCGUAA
rnacentral:rRNA from 1 species